rnacentral:rRNA from 1 species
UUGUCUACUAAUUAUAGACUAGCAUGAAAGGCAAAAUGAGGGUCUGACUGUCUCUUAUAAUUAAUCAAUUAAACUGAUCUCCCAGUAAAAAAGCUGGAAUUCCCACAUAAGACCAGAAGACCCUGUGAAGCUUAAACUACACUAUUAAACCUAAUAAUAGCCACUUUCGGUUGGGGCGACCUUGGAAAAAAAAAGAACUUCCAAACNAUGACCAUGUCACCANUAGGCCCACAAGCCAUAAACGACCCAGCACAGCUGAUAAUUGAACCAAGUUACUCCAGGGAUAACAGCGCAAUCCUCUUCAAGAGCCCAUAUCAAAAAGAGGGUUUACGACCUCGAUGUUGGAUCAGGACAUCCUGAUGGUGCAGCCGCUAUCAAGGGUUCGUUUGUUCAACGAUUAACGUCCUACGUGAUCU